ACACACACACACAAAUAUUUAUUUUCUAUCUUUUCUUUAAUAGAAAAUUUUACAUCUUGCAUAGAACACUUUUUGAAUAGAUAAUCGAUCACUAUAAACUAGAAUCAUAUAAAUUACUCCUGGUGUGGGAAAUUCACACACAUCUUAAGUGCA